rnacentral:rRNA from 1 species
GACGAACGCUGGCGGCGUGCCUAACACAUGCAAGUCGAGCGAUGAAAUCCCUUCGGGGAUGGAUUAGCGGCGGACGGGUGAGUAACACGUGGGUAACCUGCCUCAAAGUGGGGGAUAGCCUUCCGAAAGGAAGAUUAAUACCGCAUAAUAUUAGAUUUUCGCAUGAAGAGCUAAUUAAAGAAGCAAUUCGCUUUGAGAUGGACCCGCGGCGCAUUAGCUAGUUGGUGAGGUAAUGGCUCACCAAGGCGACGAUGCGUAGCCGGCCUGAGAGGGUGAUCGGCCACAUUGGAACUGAGACACGGUCCAGACUCCUACGGGAGGCAGCAGUGGGGAAUAUUGCACAAUGGGGGAAACCCUGAUGCAGCAACGCCGCGUGAGUGAUGAAGGUCUUCGGAUUGUAAAGCUCUGUCUUUUGGGACGAUAAUGACGGUACCAAAGGAGGAAGCCACGGCUAACUACGUGCCAGCCGCCGCCGUAACAC